ensembl:lncRNA novel transcript
CCACAGGGAAAGCACCAUGAGAAGAUGACGGCAGAGAUCUGGGCGACGCGUCUACAAGCCAAGCGACACCAAAGGUGGCCAGCAGCCCAUGUGAAGCUGGAGGAGAGGCCUCGAAUAAAUGCUCCCUUACAGCGUUCAGGGGGAACUGACCCUGUCCACACCUUGACCUUGAACUUCUGGGCUCCAGAACUGUGAGACAGCAUGUUCUGUUGUUGAAGGAGCAGCGUGGCUAGAGGAAUUCCUGCAGCUUAGAUUUCGCUGGCACUGUUACCACUCCCAGAGAGGAGCGGCUGGAGUUCACGGCUGGUUCCUGACAAACUUCCUAAUUAAUCUGCUAAAGAUCAGAGGAGGACUAAUAGGAGCUGAAGACUGUGUGCGAGACCACCCCUCCGCCCUCUCCCUUUGUGUGUGCACGUGUGUGUGUGUGUGUGUGUGAGCGCGUGCGCGCAUGUGGUGCUGAGCUUGGCGGGAGAGAGAUGGCCUCACCAGCGACAAAGCAUUCCUGCUGCUGUUGCUGCCACCUACCUUCCCUGCUUUGGGAGGAUACAUUUUCUCCUCUUGCUUAGAAGUUUCAGGGAGUCACCCAAGCCUUCUUCUCCCAGAUACAACGGUGGAAUAAAAUAUCUUCCAGCCAACAUAUUUUUUGGAGACGGAAUCUCACUCUGUCACCUGGUUGAAGUGCAGCAGCGCGAUCAUGGCUCACUGCAACCUCU